AAUGGAGCUCAUAAUUAGGUGCUCACAAAAUUGCUGUAGAACAGAGUCACCAUCCUCCCAGAACUCAGGAUGGACCAUGUGCAAAACUACAAUGAAGUGAUACUUCAGCAGUAUCCCGAGUGGCAAAGAAUUUAACACUGCCUUUUUGAAGUGAGAGUAUGCGCCAGAACCACGUAUCCCAUUAAGGCCAUAUAGGAAAGCUAUGCUUGCAGUUAAUUUAAGACAUUGAGAUGCUUAAAUUGUAUCUUAAGGUUAGUUUAGAAAAACUGGUGUCAGAAAACAACUGCCAAAACGCCCAGUACCCCAGGAGGAAUGUCGUGGUAGUACUGGGUAUUAUGGGACUUGUAGUUUCGGACGCCGCGGGGCAUUCCCCCUCAUCUCCACCCCAAUCCUUUCGGACUGGCGAGAAAAAGGUGAGUAGCUGGGCAGUGAGCUCAGGACCUGCGGGCUGGCGGAGCGGCUUCCUCGAGGGAGAAUCAUCCCCACACUCCUCCCGCACCAGGCAGUCGGGCUGUGAGGCGGGCGCGCGGUGAUGGCGUCACCUUCCGGUGCCGCCGUCUUGGUUUCCCUGACGACCGGCGUGAGCUCCGCGCCGAGGCGAAGGAGAUGCUGGCGAGGCGGCAGCGCGAUCCCCUCCAGUCACUGCAGCGUCGCAAUCAGGAGCUGAAGCAGCAGGUUGAUGAUUUGCUUUCUGAGAGUCGAUUGAAAGGAGCUCUAGAAGCCAGUAAAAGACGAGAUAUUUACCAAAGAUGUAUCCAAUUAAAACAGGCAAUAGAUGAAAAUAAAAAUACUCUUCAAAAAUUAAGCAAAGCUGAUGAACCUGCCCCUGUUGGGAGUUACAAUCAGAAGAAAGAGGAGGAACACAAUCUUUUGGAUAAGCUUACCCACCAACUGCAGGAACUUGCUGUGUCCAUAAGUAGAGAAAAUGUCACUGAAACUGGGGCGCUUACUGAAGGAGAGGACGAUGACAGUUCUGCUGAAGAAGAUGAAGAAGAAGAAGAAGAAGAAGAAGAUGAAGAGGCCGCAAGUGGAGAAUACGUUGCUAUUGGAGAUUUUACGGCUCAGCAAGUCGGAGACCUUACAUUUAAGAAAGGGGAAAUUCUCCUUAUAAUUGAAAAAAACCCUGAUGGUUGGUGGAUGGCUAAGAAUGCCAAAGGAAACAAAGGUCUUAUUCCCAGAACGUACUUGGAGCCCUGUAAUAAAGAAGAAGGCCCGGAGUCUAGUGAAGAAGGCAGUGAAGAAGAUGUAGAGGUAGGGGAUGAAACGGCAGAAGGAGCAGAAGUUAAACAAAGAACCGAUUCUCAUUGGAGUGCUGUCCGAAAAGCCAUCUCAGAGCAGAUUAACACCGUUGACGUACUGACCACGAUGGGAGCUAUUCCUGCCGGGUUCAGGCCUUCCACCCUCUUCCAGCUUCUGGAGGAAGGGAAUCAAUUUCGAGCAAGUUACUUCUUACAACCAGAGCUCACUACUUCACAACUGGCCUUCAAAGAUCUAAUGUGGGAUGCUAAAACGGGCUCUAUUAGGUCAAGACCAAGUCGUGUUUCCUUGAUUCUGACCCUCUGGAGCUGUAAGAUGAUUCCUCUUCCAGGAGUGAGCAUCCAGGUUCUGAGCAGACACGUGCGCUUCUGUCUGUUUGACGGCAAUAAGGUUCUGAGCAACAUUCAUACAGUCAGGGCCACGUGGCAACCUAAGAAACCCAAAACAUGGACCUUUUCUCCCCAGGUUACUGGCAUCUUGCCCUGCUUGCUUGAUGGUGACUGUUUCAUCAGGUCCAAUUCUUCUUCUCCAGAUCUUGGAAUAUUAUUUGAACUUGGAAUUUCUUAUAUUCGCAAUUCAACUGGUGAGAGAGGAGAAUUAAGUUGUGGCUGGGUGUUUCUUAAACUUUUUGAUGCCAGUGGAAUUCCUAUUCCAGCAAAAACUUAUGAACUCUUCUUGAAUGGAGGUACCCCUUAUGAAAAAGGUGUUGAAGUGGACCCUUCAGUAUCCAGAAGAGCACAUGGUAGUGUUUUCCAUCAGAUGAUGACAGUGAGAAGGCAGCCUCAGCUUCUAGUAAAACUGAGAUCUUUGAACAGAAGAUCAAGGAACAUGCUAAGUCUACUGCCGGAAACAUUAAUUGGAAGUAUGUGCUCCGUUCAUUUGUUGAUAUUUUAUCGCCAGAUUCUUGGUGACGUGCUCCUGAAAGACAGGAUGAGCAUGCACAGUGCUGAUUUAAUUAGUAAUCCAGUGCUGGCCACCUUCCCCAAGCUCCUGGAGCAGCCCGACCUGAUGGAUGCGCUCAGGAGUUCCUGGGCUGAGAAAGAGAGUACCUUAAAAAGGUCAGAGAAGAGAGACAAGGAGCUCCAGAAGGCCGUGUUCCUCCUGGUUUACCACGACUGCGCGCUUCCCCUCCUCCACUCUGCGCUCCUGCCUCCGUUCAGGUGGGCAGAGGAGGAGACCGAGGCCGCGCGAUGGAAGGUCAUCGCCGACUUCCUCAAGCAAAGCCAAGAAAACGAGGGCGCCCUCCAGGCUCUGCUGUCGCCAGCGGGGCUCCAUGAGCCUUUCGACAUUUCAGAGCAGACCUAUGACUUCUUGGGUGAGAUAAGAAAGGUCGCAGCCUGACAGCGGUGCCCCUUGACCUUCUACUUCCCGCUGAAUCUGAUAGACCCUCCAUGACAACCUGCAUCACCUAAAGCCCUGGACAGGAUGCGUGAAACAGCUUUCUGAGGACUCUGAAAAAUAAGUAGAAGUGGGACUGUUUGGGAAGGAAACCAGAAUUGAAAAUACUACCAAAGUGGUGGCAACGUCCUCUGAUGGGUGUGUCGGGCAGG